rnacentral:tRNA from 1 species
GCCUGGGUGGCCCAGUCAGUUGAGCAUCGGACUUGGGCUCAGGUCGUGAUCUCGCCGACCGUGAGUUCGAGCCCCACCUCAGGCU